UCCGGUUGAUCCUGCCGGACCCCACUGCUAUCGGGAUGGGACUAAGACAUGUUAGUCGCGCGUCUUCCAGCCAUGAGGAAGAAGCGGCGCACAGCUCAGUAGCACGUGGCUAACCUAACCUUGGUAUGAGAACACCCCCGGGAAACUGGGGCUAACUCUCAAUAGGCGAAAACUCCUGGAAUGGUUUUUCACCCAAAAAGCACCUAGAUCAUGCUUCUAGAUGCUGCCCAAGGAUGGGGCCGCGGCCGAUCAGGUUGUUGGUGAGGUAACGGCUCACCAAGCCUAUAACCGGUGCGGGCCGUGGGAGCGGGAGCCCGGAGAUGGGCACUGAGACAAGGGCCCAGGCCCUACGGGGCGCAGCAGUCGCGCAAACUUCGCAAUAAGCGAAAGCUUGACGGGGCUAUCCCGAGUGCCAUCCGCUGAGGAUGGCUUUUCCCUAGUGUAGAUAGCUAGGGGAAUAAGGAGAGGGCAAGUCUGGUGUCAGCCGCCGCGGUAAUACCAGCUCUCCGAGUGGUGGGGACGAUUAUUGGGCCUAAAGCAUCCGUAGCCGGCUAGGCAAGUCCUCCGUUAAAUCCAACGAUUUAAUCGUUGGUCUGCGGGGGAUACUGCUUGGCUAGGAGGCGGGAGAGGCCGUCGGUAUCCUUGGGGUAGGGGUGAAAUCCUAUAAUCCCAAGAGGACCACCAGUGGCGAAGGCUGUCGGCUAGAACGCGCUCGACGGUGAGGGAUGAAAGCUGGGGGAGCGAACCGGAUUAGAUACCCGGGUAGUCCCAGCUGUAAACGAUGCAGCUAGGUGUUAGGGUGGCCACGUGCCACUCUAGUGCCGCAGGAAACUGUUAAGCCUGCCGCCUGGGGAGUACGGCCGCAAGGCUGAACUUAAAGGAAUUGGCGGGGGAGCACACAAGGGUGAAGCUUG
rnacentral:rRNA from 1 species